rnacentral:rRNA from 1 species
CUACCGUGACUUCGGAUUCUAUCGUGUUUCCCUAAGAGUUUGAUCAUGGCUCAGGACGAACGCUGGCGGCGUGCUUAACACAUGCAAGUCGAACGGAAAGGCCCUGCUUUUGUGGGGUGCUCGAGUGGCGAACGGGUGAGUAACACGUGAGUAACCUGCCCUUGACUUUGGGAUAACUUCAGGAAACUGGGGCUAAUACCGGAUAGGAGCUCCUGCUGCAUGGUGGGGGUUGGAAAGUUUCGGCGGUUGGGGAUGGACUCGCGGCUUAUCAGCUUGUUGGUGGGGUAGUGGCUUACCAAGGCUUUGACGGGUAGCCGGCCUGAGAGGGUGACCGGCCACAUUGGGACUGAGAUACGGCCCAGACUCCUACGGGAGGCAGCAGUGGGGAAUAUUGCACAAUGGGCGGAAGCCUGAUGCAGCAACGCCGCGUGCGGGAUGACGGCCUUCGGGUUGUAAACCGCUUUCGCCUGUGACGAAGCGUGAGUGACGGUAAUGGGUAAAGAAGCACCGGCUAACUACGUGCCAGCAGCCGCGGUGAUACGUAGGGUGCGAGCGUUGUCCGGAUUUAUUGGGCGUAAAGGGCUCGUAGGUGGUUGAUCGCGUCGGAAGUGUAAUCUUGGGGCUUAACCCUGAGCGUGCUUUCGAUACGGGUUGACUUGAGGAAGGUAGGGGAGAAUGGAAUUCCUGGUGGAGCGGUGGAAUGCGCAGAUAUCAGGAGGAACACCAGUGGCGAAGGCGGUUCUCUGGGCCUUUCCUGACGCUGAGGAGCGAAAGCGUGGGGAGCGAACAGGCUUAGAUACCCUGGUAGUCCACGCUGUAAACGGUGGGUACUAGGUGUGGGGUCCAUUCCACGGGUUCCGUGCCGUAGCUAACGCUUUAAGUACCCCGCCUGGGGAGUACGGCCGCAAGGCUAAAACUCAAAGGAAUUGACGGGGCCCCGCACAAGCGGCGGAGCAUGCGGAUUAAUUCGAUGCAACGCGUAGAACCUUACCUGGGUUUGACAUGGAUCGGGAGUGCUCAGAGAUGGGUGUGCCUCUUUUGGGGUCGGUUCACAGGUGGUGCAUGGCUGUCGUCAGCUCGUGUCGUGAGAUGUUGGGUUAAGUCCCGCAACGAGCGCAACCCUUGUUCACUGUUGCCAGCACGUUAUGGUGGGGACUCAGUGGAGACCGCCGGGGUCAACUCGGAGGAAGGUGGGGAUGACGUCAAGUCAUCAUGCCCCUUAUGUCCAGGGCUUCACGCAUGCUACAAUGGCUGGUACAGAGAGUGGCGAGCCUGUGAGGGUGAGCGAAUCUCGGAAAGCCGGUCUCAGUUCGGAUUGGGGUCUGCAACUCGACCUCAUGAAGUCGGAGUCGCUAGUAAUCGCAGAUCAGCAACGCUGCGGUGAAUACGUUCCCGGGGCUUGUACACACCGCCCGUCAAGUCAUGAAAGUUGGUAACACCCGAAGCCGGUGGCCUAACCGUUGUGGGGGAGCCGUCGAAGGUGGGACUGGUGAUUAGGACUAAGUCGUAACAAGGUAACCGUAGGGAAACACGAUAGAAUCCGAAGUCACGGUAGG